rnacentral:rRNA from 1 species
CACGUAGGGCGCAAGCGUUGUCCGGAAUUAUUGGGCGUAAAGAGCUCGUAGGCGGUGUGUCACGUCGGCCGUGAAAACCUGCAGCUUAACUGUGGGCGUGCGGUCGAUACGGGCAUCACUGGAGUUCUGCAGGGGAGACUGGAAUUCCUGGUGUAGCGGUGAAAUGCGCAGAUAUCAGGAGGAACACCGGUGGCGAAGGCGGGUCUCUGGGCCGAUACUGACGCUGAGGAGCGAAAGCGUGGGGAGCAAACAGG